rnacentral:rRNA from 1 species
GACGGAGGAUGCAAGCGUUAUCCGGAAUGAUUGGGCGUAAAGCGUCCGCAGGUGGCAGUUCAAGUCUGCUGUCAAAGACCGGGGCUUAACUUACGGAAAGGCAGUGGAAACUGAACAAGCUAGAGUAUGGUAGGGGCAGAGGGAAUUCCGUGGUGUAGCGGUGAAAUGCGUAGGAGAAUCAGGAAGAACAUCGGUGGCGAAGGCGCUCUGCGUGGACCAUAACUGACACUCAGGGACGAAAGCUAGGGGAGCGAAAUGGG